UACGUAGGGUGCAAGCGUUUGUCCGGAAUUAUUGGGCGUAAAGAGCUCGUAGGCGGUCUGUCGCGUCUGCUGUGAAAACUCAGGGCUUAACCCUGAGCUUGCAGUGGGUACGGGCAGACUAGAGUGCGGUAGGGGAGACUGGAAUUCCUGGUGUAGCGGUGAAAUGCGCAGAUAUCAGGAGGAACACCGGUGGCGAAGGCGGGUCUCUGGGCCGUAA
rnacentral:rRNA from 1 species